GUAAGGAAUAUUGGUCAAUGGGCGCAAGCCUGAACCAGCCAUGCCGCGUGAAGGAUGACGGCCCUAUGGGUUGUAAACUUCUUUUGUACGGGAAAAAACCACCGGUCGUGUAUCGGUGCUGAUGGUACCGUAAGAAUAAGCAUCGGCUAACUCCGUGCCAGCAGCCGCGGUAAUACGGAGGAUGCAAGCGUUAUCCGGAUUCAUUGGGUUUAAAGGGUGCGCAGGCGGAAUAAUAAGUCAGCGGUGAAAGCCUACAGCUUAACUGUAGAACUGCCAUUGAUACUGUUAUUCUUGAGUGUUGUUGAGGUAGGCGGAAUGUGUCAUGUAGCGGUGAAAUGCUUAGAUAUGACACAGAACACCGAUCGCGAAGGCAGCUUACCAAGCAACAACUGACGCUCAUGCACGAAAGCGUGGGGAUCAAACAGGAUUAGAUACCCCUGUAGUCC
rnacentral:rRNA from 1 species